rnacentral:rRNA from 1 species
GAUGAACGCUGGCGGCGUGCCUAAUACAUGCAAGUCGAGCGAACAGACGAGGAGCUUGCUCCUCUGACGUUAGCGGCGGACGGGUGAGUAACACGUGUAUAACCUACCUAUAAGACUGGGAUAACUUCGGGAAACCGGAGCUAAUACCGGAUAAUAUAUUGAACCGCAUGGUUCAAUAGUGAAAGACGGUUUUGCUGUCACUUAUAGAUGGAUCCGCGCCGCAUUAGCUAGUUGGUAAGGUAACGGCUUACCAAGGCAACGAUGCGUAGCCGACCUGAGAGGGUGAUCGGCCACACUGGAACUGAGACACGGUCCAGACUCCUACGGGAGGCAGCAGUAGGGAAUCUUCCGCAAUGGGCGAAAGCCUGACGGAGCAACGCCGCGUGAGGGAUGAAGGUCUUCGGAUCGUAAAACUCUGUUAUCAGGGAAGAACAAAUGUGUAAGUAACUAUGCACGUCUUGACGGUACCUAAUCAGAAAGCCACGGCUAACUACGUG